UAAAGUGGCGAACGGCUGAGUAACACGUGGGCAACCUGCCCUUUGCACUGGGAUAGCCUCGGGAAACCGAGGUUAAUACCGGAUACUCCAUAUUUGUCGCAUGGCGAAUAUGGGAAAGCUCCGGCGGCAAAGGAUGGGCCCGCGGCCUGUUAGCUAGUUGGUGGGGUAGUGGCCUACCAAGGCAAUGAUGGGUAGCCGGGUUGAGAGACCGACCGGCCAGAUUGGGACUGAGACACGGCCCAGACUCUACGGGAGGCAGCAGC
rnacentral:rRNA from 1 species